GACGAACGCUGGCGGCGUGCCUAAUACAUGCAAGUUGAGCGAUGAAGAUUGGUGCUUGCACCAAUUUGAAGAGCAGCGAACGGGUGAGUAACGCGUGGGGAAUCUGCCUUUGAGCGGGGGACAACAUUUGGAAACGAAUGCUAAUACCGCAUAACAACUUUAAACAUAAGUUUUAAGUUUGAAAGAUGCAAUUGCAUCACUCAAAGAUGAUCCCGCGUUGUAUUAGCUAGUUGGUGAGGUAAAGGCUCACCAAGGCGAUGAUACAUAGCCGACCUGAGAGGGUGAUCGGCCACAUUGGGACUGAGACACGGCCCAAACCCCUACGGGAGGCAGCAGUAGGGAAUCUUCGGCAAUGGACGAAAGUCUGACCGAGCAACGCCGCGUGAGUGAAGAAGGUUUUCGGGUCGGAAAACUCUGUUGGUAGAGAAGAACGUUGGGGAGAGUGGAAAGCUCAUCAAGUGACGGUAACUACCCAGAAAGGGACGGCUAACUACGUG
rnacentral:rRNA from 1 species